UACGUAGGGUGCAGGCGUUAAUCGGAAUUACUGGGCGUAAAGCGUGCGCAGGCGGUUUGCUAAGACAGGUGUGAAAUCCCCGGGCUUAACCUGGGAACUGCAUUUGUGACUGCAUCGCUGGAGUGCGGCAGAGGGGAUGGAAUCCGGCGUGUAGCAGUGAAAUGCGUAGAUAUGCGGAGGAACACCGAUGGCGAAGGCAAUCCCCUGGGCCUGCACUGACGCUCAUGCACGAAAGCGUGGGAGCAAACAGG
rnacentral:rRNA from 1 species